AACGAACGCUGGCGGCAGGCUUAACACAUGCAAGUCGAACGCCCCGCAAGGGGAGUGGCAGACGGGUGAGUAACGCGUGGGAAUCUACCCAGAUCUACGGAACAACAGUUGGAAACGACUGCUAAUACCGUAUACGCCCUACGGGGGAAAGAUUUAUCGGAUUUGGAUGAGCCCGCGUAAGAUUAGCUAGUUGGUGGGGUAAUGGCCUACCAAGGCGACGAUCUUUAGCUGGUCUGAGAGGAUGAUCAGCCACACUGGGACUGAGACACGGCCCAGACUCCUACGGGAGGCAGCAGUGGGGAAUAUUGGACAAUGGGCGCAAGCCUGAUCCAGCCAUGCCGCGUGAGUGAUGAAGGCCUUAGGGUUGUAAAGCUCUUUCACCGAUGAAGAUAAUGACGGUAGUCGGAGAAGAAGCCCCGGCUAACUUCGUGCCAGCCGCCGCCGUAA
rnacentral:rRNA from 1 species